CGCCUCUUGCACCCGUAUAAGAGGUCCAGCCUGCCCAGUGACUAAGUUCAACGGCCGCGGUAUCCUAACCGUGCGAAGGUAGCGUAAUCACUUGUUCUUUAAAUGAGGACUAGUAUGAAUGGCACCACGAGGGUUAUGCUGUCUCCUUUUUCUAAUCAAUGAAACUGAUCUCCCCGUGAAGAAGCGGGGAUGUAAGUAUAAGACGAGAAGACCCUAUGGAGCUUUAAACAACGUAACACUGACUUACAUAUUAUAAUGUUCCAGAACUAUCAUAAUUAUUCUAGCCUCUAUGAUUACUAGUUUUAGGUUGGGGUGACCACGGAGAAAAAAUUAACCUCCAUGUUGAAUGGAAUUAUUCCUGAGCUAAAAGCCACGACUUUAAGCACUAAUAAAUUAACAUAAAUUGACCCAAUAUUUUGAUCAACGAACCAAGUUACCCUAGGGAUAACAGCGCA
rnacentral:rRNA from 1 species